CAAGUCGAACGGUGAUGCCCAGCUUGCUGGGCGGAUCAGUGGCGAACGGGUGAGUAACACGUGAGUAACCUGCCCCAGACUCCGGGAUAAGCCUUGGAAACGAGGUCUAAUACUGGAUACGAGACGCCCCUGCAUGGGGAGUGUCUGGAAAGAUUUAUCGGUCUGGGAUGGACUCGCGGCCUAUCAGCUUGUUGGUGGGGUAAUGGCCUACCAAGGCGACGACGGGUAGCCGGCCUGAGAGGGCGACCGGCCACACUGGGACUGAGACACGGCCCAGACUCCUACGGGAGGCAGCAGUGGGGAAUAUUGCACAAUGGGCGAAAGCCUGAUGCAGCGACGCCGCGUGAGGGAUGAAGGCCUUCGGGUUGUAAACCUCUUUCAGCAGGGAAGAAGCGCAAGUGACGGUACCUGCAGAAGAAGCGCCGGCUAACUACGUGCCAGCAGCCGCGGUAAUACGUAGGGCGCAAGCGUUGUCCGGAAUUAUUGGGCGUAAAGAGCUCGUAGGCGGUUUGUCGCGUCUGGUGUGAAAACUCAAGGCUCAACCUUGAGCUUGCAUCGGGUACGGGCAGACUAGAGUGCGGUAGGGGUGACUGGAAUUCCUGGUGUAGCGGUGGAAUGCGCAGAUAUCAGGAGGAACACCGAUGGCGAAGGCAGGUCACUGGGCCGCAACUGACGCUGAGGAGCGAAAGCAUGGGAGCGAACAGGAUUAGAUACCCUGGUAGUCCAUGCCGUAAACGUUGGGCACUAGGUGUGGG
rnacentral:rRNA from 1 species